rnacentral:rRNA from 1 species
UGGGAACGCGAAGAACCUUACCUAGACUUGACAUCCCCUGAAUUACCUGUAAUGAGGGAAGUCCCUUCGGGGACAGGGAGACAGGUGGUGCAUGGUUGUCGUCAGCUCGUGUUGUAAGAUGUUGGGUUAAGUCCCGCAACGAGCGCAACCCUUAUNAUUAGUUGCUACCAUUAAGUUGAGCACUCUAAUGAGACUGCCCGGGUUAACCGGGAGGAAGGUGGGGAUGACGUCAAAUCAUCAUGCCCCCUAUGUCUAGGGCCACACACGUGCUACAAUGGUGAGUACAACGAGAUGCGAACCCGCGAGGGGAGCUAAACUACAAAACUACAUCUCAGUUCGGUAUUGCAGGCUGCAACUCGCCUGCAUGAAGCUGGAGUUGCUAGUAAUCGCGAAUCAGAAUGUCGCGGUGAAUACGUUCCU